UGCCUUAGUAACGGCGAGUGAAGCGGCAAAAGCUCAAAUUUGAAAUCUGGUACCUUCGGUGCCCGAGUUGUAAUUUGGAGAGGGCAACUUUGGGGCCGUUCCUUGUCUAUGUUCCUUGGAACAGGACGUCAUAGAGGGUGAGAAUCCCGUGUGGCGAGGAGUGCGGUUCUUUGUAAAGUGCCUUCGAAGAGUCGAGUUGUUUGGGAAUGCAGCUCUAAGUGGGUGGUAAAUUCCAUCUAAAGCUAAAUAUUGGCGAGAGACCGAUAGCGAACAAGUACAGUGAUGGAAAGAUGAAAAGAACUUUGAAAAGAGAGUGAAAAAGUACGUGAAAUUGUUGAAAGGGAAGGGCAUUUGAUCAGACAUGGUGUUUUGUGCCCUCUGCUCCUUGUGGGUAGGGGAAUCUCGCAUUUCACUGGGCCAGCAUCAGUUUUGGUGGCAGGAUAAAUCCAUAGGAAUGUAGCUUGCCUCGGUAAGUAUUAUAGCCUGUGGGAAUACUGCCAGCUGGGACUGAGGACUGCGACGUAAGUCAAGGAUGCUGGCAUAAUGGUUAUAUGCCGCCCGUCUUGAC
rnacentral:rRNA from 1 species